UACGAAGGGGGCUAGCGUUGCUCGGAAUCACUGGGCGUAAAGGGUGCGUAGGCGGGUUUUUAAGUCAGGGGUGAAAUCCUGGAGCUCAACUCCAGAACUGCCUUUGAUACUGGCAAUCUCGAGUCCGGGAGAGGUGAGUGGAACUGCGAGUGUAGAGGUGAAAUUCGUAGAUAUUCGCAAGAACACCAGUGGCGAAGGCGGCUCACUGGCCCGGUACUGACGCUGAGGUGCGAAAGCGUGGGGAGCGAACAGG
rnacentral:rRNA from 1 species